rnacentral:rRNA from 1 species
UACGUAGGGUGCGAGCGUUAAUCGGAAUUACUGGGCGUAAAGCGUGCGCAGGCGGUUCGUUAAGUUCGUUGUGAAAGCCCCGGGCUCAACCUGGGAACUGCAAUGGAAACUGGCGGGCUUGAGUGUGGCAGAGGGGGGUGGAAUUCCGCGUGUAGCAGUGAAAUGCGUAGAGAUGCGGAGGAACACCGAUGGCGAAGGCAGCCCCCUGGGCCAACACUGACGCUGAGGCUCGAAAGCGUGGGGAUCAAACAGG